rnacentral:pre_miRNA from 1 species
CGGCAUUUCAAAGCAGCAGUGCCGCAUGGAACCCAGGAUCAGCUGGGGACUCCACAGUUGACCCGGGGCUCCGUGCUGCACUGCUGCUUUGAAAUGCCG